GUAUCCUAUUCAAAAAAUUUUUCUUCGAUUUUUGAAAGAAACCAAGAGAUUGUUUGUACAUAACAUACAGAAUAAAACAGUGCUUUGAUUGCGUAAGUCAUCCGCACUUCCGGCACCGGAACCCGAGAACCGGUAUAAUCAAAGUCGGUUCGUACGGCCACCAACUAACAUGACAUACAAACUCUACUAAUACGCACUCUGUUACGCAAUCUGCGAACGCACCUCCGCUACCAACGAACCGCAUACGGGACGCACGACCACUAUCACAAAGCGGGUUGGUAGAGAAACGUCAAAAAGAAAAAAAAAAAAAAAAAAGGAAGAGAAAGAAUCAGUGAAUAGCUUAUUUCUAAAUUACUUCUGAAAAUUUCUAAAUUGUGAAUUUGCGUAGUGCCUAGUUUAAAAUUAUAUUAGUAAGAGGUAAAAAUUAAUUGCUUAGUGCCUAGUUUAAAAUUGUAUUAUUAAGAGGUAAAAAUUAAUUAGAAACCUAGAUUAAAAAUACUAUUACUAACUAGUUUACAAACCUAACUUAUCACAGGUCGGAGCAUCACAGUUGGUGGUAUUAGCAACUAGUUAUUGCAGUUAUUAGUAAUUUAACUACCGUACGAUACCGCUUACCGGACAGAACGAAAAUCACAAGUAGACAGUAAACGUGAGUGAAGAAAACAUAAUUGAAUUAUACACUAAUUACAAAUAAUUGAUGAGUUAUUGUUCAUUAUAUACCAACAGGAAAAAUUUAACAUCAUUCUACAAUAAACCAACAUUGUCAAACAAAGUUCGGCGUAGUCAAUAAAGUAGUUUAAAUUUUCGGAAAUUCCGUCUUGUUGCCGUCUCGGGAACAAAUUAAAUUUUUCGUUUAAUUUCGGAAUGUCAAGUGGUAGCGUAGCGAGUGCUGGGAAACGUCCCCAGAAUGAUGAUAAUUCUCCUGGUGGGGAGGGGGCGAGUUGUGGAGCGUGUCGCCGUGUCGAUACUAGUCGAAUGGUGCAGUGUGACGAAUGUGACGUGUGGUUUCACUAUGAUUGUGUAGACGUAGACGACCAUAUCGGGGAUCGUGACUGGAGCUGUAAUAGAUGCAUGAGGAAAUCUCUGGAGAAGCAGCAGCGUAUAUUGAGAGAGCAGUUCGAACAUUUUGAACAGCGAAUGAAGCAGUGGCAACAAGGGCAACAGAAUCCCCCAAGGCAGAUAGAGGAACAGCAGGAGCAUGCACAGCGGCAGAAGCAGCCGGAGCUGCAGCAGCGGAUGCAUGAGCAGUUCGAUCAGUCGCAGAUAGGGAAGUUGCAGUUGCAACAGCAGAAUUUGCCGUCAGAAAUGGCAACGGGAGUACCUCAAAUAUCGCUUGGUGCUAUUCCGAAGCAACAGCAGCAAGUCCAGUGUAUGGAUAAUGUCGAGUCGACGAGACAAGGUCGUGCGAAACCGUUGGCGAACUCUACCGUCAACAACGAAAGUGAGAAAGCAUGCUCAAAGUCGUCAAAGCAUUCUACGAAGCGACGAGAAUUGCAACUGAAGGCCCUGGCGGCGAGACAAGCGUUGGAGAAAAAGCAGCUAGAAGAGCGGCUGGAAUUGGAACGCGAGAUGUUGGAGACUAGUGACUCCGAGUCGGAAUCAGCCGCGAGUUUCAGUAAAAUCAGCGAAUGGAUAGAGACGACCGACAAUAUCGGAAAGAAUCUUGGAAAAUCGAACCAGGAUACUCCACUGCCGGUUUACAGCGAACUUCUACGGAAAUCGGUGGCACCUACAAAGCCGAUCAAUCUUCAUGGCGAUUGGGGUCCAAUCAGGCCAUCUAAUAUACGGUUUGGAGCUGGUCACUUCCCGUUUCCGUAUAUCGCAUCGCAACAAGAGGGCGAGAGCUACGUUCCAGAUAGCAGAAACAUCGCACAACCCCGAGUGGCUACGUCGGCUUCGCGGCCAAAUCCGGCCAUCUAUCGUCCACAGGCACAACGGCAACUAAGCAACGAUCAGUUACCGCUUAACAGCGGCCACCUAGCGGCCAGACAAACGGUAAAGGACUUGCCAAAGUUCGGAGGAGAUCCGGAAGAUUGGCCUAGAUUCAUUGCAGCCUACGAGCGAACUUCCAGAAUGUGCGCCUUUCGGAAUGAUGAGCUGCUCGAUCGGCUGGAAAGAAGUCUGCAAGACAAGGCACUCUGCACUGUCAAAAGCCUACUGCUGCAUCCCGAUAACGUUCCAGUGAUCAUGAACAGGCUGAAAACUCUCUUCGGGAAUCCAGAAUUGAUAGUAGAGACCAUGGUUCGGCGGAUUCGCAUGAUGCCACCGCCGAAAGCAGAUAAGAUGGAGACGAUUGUCGACUUCGGUGUUGCAGUUCAGAACCUGUGCGCAACUAUCCAGGUGUGCCAGAUGGAUGAACGGUUAUAUAAUGUCGCACUUCUUCAGGAGCUUGUUGACAGUCUGCCGUCGGCAUUGAAAAUGAAAUGGGCCUUCUAUCGGAAGGAGAUUAGAACUGCUACUCUGUUAGAGUUCAAUGAAUGGCUGGGUGAGAUGGUAGAAACCCUGAGUCAGGUGAUAAGGCCCACUGUAUGGACCAAGCCACAGAAAGCUGAGCAGAAAACGGAGCGGAGGGUGCGAAAGGAAGAAGUAUAUCUUCACACGCAUACAACGCAUUCGUCGGAUCAAGUAGAUCGCAAAGGAUGUUUGGCUUGCGGAAACGAGUGCAGUUCUCUCGACAAGUGCGGCAGUUUUCUCAAGAUGUCUCCAAGUGCACGAUGGGCGUUAGUGAACGUGAAGAAGGUUUGUCGCAAGUGUUUGAACAAGCACUUCAAAACCUGCGAAAGGAAAGUUCCCUGCGGUGUUCAGGGAUGUGCCUUUCUACAUCACCGGCUGUUGCAUAACGACAGCAAACAUAAUAAGCCGUCAAUUAGCCAUUCUACACAAGCUGCUUCGAUUAAUGCGCACCACAGUUCACUGGAACGCACGUUUUUGAAGUAUAUUAGCGUUACAGUUCACGGAAAAGGGAGCUCGAUUUCUACCUACGCCUUCCUCGAUGCGGGAUCGACUUCUACACUUAUGGAGCAUAGCCUAUGGGAGGAACUAAACCUUGACGGUGAAAGAGCUCCGCUGUGUAUUUCGUGGACUGGCGGACAAGGAAGAUAUGAAGAUGAUUCGGUAGUAUUUUCGGUGGAGGUUACCGGUGAACGAACUCCAGGAUUACGCUUCAAUCUUCAAGAUGUACAUACCGUGCGAAGUCUGGAUCUUCCAUCACAGUCAAUGUCAGCAACAGAGUUAGCCGAGCAUUUCGGAUAUCUCUCAGAUAUUCCAAUUGAGUCGUACGCCGAUGUGAAACCUCGAAUUCUGCUAGGAGUUGACAACUCCAGACUAGAGUAUCCACUCGACUCUAGAGAAGGUAGCGAAAAUCAGCCAACGGCGGUGUUGACCCGACUAGGAUGGGUAGUCUACGGUCCGUGCUCGAUGUCUGGACGACCAAAACCGACGGACGUUUCAUACAGUUACCAUAUCUGCCAAUGCGAUGGGUUACACUCAGCCGUCAAGAACUACUUUUCAAUUGACGGUCUCGGUAUUCAACUCACCGGGAAGCCACUGAUGUCGAAGGACGAUGAACGUGCGAUUCAGCUGUUGCAGACCAAGACAUUGUUCAAGAACGGAAGGUAUGAAACCGGUCUACUAUGGCGAUACGACGAAGUCCGGCUUCCAGAAAGCAAAGCCAUGGCCUUAAGACGGCACGAAUGUUUGAGCAAACGAAUGGCUCGAGAACCACAGCUCGCGAAAGCCCUGCAGGAGAAAAUUCUCGAUUAUCGGACAAAGGGAUAUAUCCGAAUGCUAACGACAGAGGAGGAAGCAGUACACAAGGGGCGCUCGUGGUACCUUCCGAUCUUUCCGGUAGUAAACCCUAACAAACCUGGUAAGCUGCGAAUAGUUUGGGACGCUGCCGCGAAAGUAGGGAACCUCUCCCUCAAUUCGUUUCUGCUCAAAGGUCCCGACCAAGUUACACCUCUUCAACAAGUUCUGCAGCGGUUUCGCGAACAUCGUACUGCAGUCUCGGGAGACAUACGGGAGAUGUUCCACCAAGUACGGAUCAACCCCAACGAUCAGCAUUGCCAGCGCUUCCUGUGGAAUGAUGGUGUAUCCGGGAGUGUUCCAUCGACCUACGUGAUGGAGGUAAUGACAUUUGGUGCAAGCUGCUCGCCAAGCAGCGCACAGUAUGUCAAGAACCUUAACGCAGAACGAUUCAAAGAUGAAUAUCCGGAAGCAGUCGAGGCGAUAGGCGAAGGGACGUAUGUCGAUGAUAUGCUGUACAGCGUCGAAACUGAAGAUGAAGCGGUGAAACUUGCGCAGGAUGUACGAAACAUACACGCGAAGGGUGGCUUCGAGAUCCGAGGAUGGUUGUCCAAUUCGAAGAAGGUGCUAGAUGCCAUGGGUGAGCAGAGGAUUGAACAAAAGGAUCUAAACAAAACCGGAGAGCUAGCAACCGAGAAAGUCCUGGGAAUGUGGUGGGAUACAACCAACGAUACCUUCACAUUCAAGAUACCUAAGCGAUGCGAGCAGAGACUGCUAUUCGGGGAGCAAGUUCCUACGAAAAGGGAAGUACUUCGAGUCCUAAUGUCGGUGUAUGAUCCACUUGGACUCCUGGCAAACGUGAUGAUGUUUCUCAAAGUUCUUCUGCAAGAGAUUUGGCGAUCAUGCAUAGGAUGGGACGAACCGAUAACCGAUCAGCAAUUCGUACAAUGGAAAACGUGGCUUGGCGUGUUGCAUACCGUGGAACAAGUCUCCAUCCCGCGAUGCUAUCGAAUGAUAACCAGCUGCUCAAGCAAAACCAACGAUACUCAGCUGCACGUGUUUGUCGACGCCAGCGAAAAGGGCUACGCAGCAGUCGCCUAUUUCCGGUUCGAAGAAAAAAAAUCUAUUGAAUGCGCCUUCGUUACGGCGAAAACUCGUGUCGCUCCCCUAAAGUACGUCUCGAUUCCUCGGCUGGAGCUUCAAGCUGCCGUGAUCGGAACCCGCCUGGCAAAUUCAGUUUGCGAAACUCAUAAGGUUCCCGUACGGAAACGGUUCCUGUGGACCGAUUCGAGGGACGUGCUCUGCUGGCUACGUUCGGAUCACAGGAAGUACAGCAAAUUCGUCGGUGCUAGAGUAGGUGAAAUCCUGGAAAGCACGGAACAGUCAGAGUGGCUAUGGGUUCCAACAAAGGAGAAUGUGGCUGAUGAGGGCACAAAGUGGCAGAAGAUCCCUGAUCUCUCUCCAUCAAGUCGAUGGUUUAAGGGUCCAGCAUUUUUGUGGCAGCAGCAGAGGGACUGGCCAGUUCAACCGGCAAAUCACGGCGUCGCUACGAACGAAAUAAUCGCUUCGGUCAACGUCCACGCAACUUGCGAACCUGUCAUCAGCUUUGUCAGAUAUUCCAACUGGCGGAAACUCCUACGGGUCACUGCCUAUGUGCUACGAUUUGUGCGCAACGUUCGAGCUAGGGUAAAGCAGCAUACACAAUCUACGGGAGCCCUCGAGCAACCGGAGCUGUUAGAAGCGGAAUGUUGCAUUUAUCGUCAGGUUCAACUCGAUGCAUUCAGUGAGGAAGUAUCACUGUUAAAGUGUACUGACGAUAUAACAAGGCAGAACAUAAUCCAGCUGCCCAAAAGCAGCUCGCUCUACAAACUUUCUCCGUUCCUUGACACACAUGGGGUGCUUCGAAUGCGGGGACGUACUGCCGGAUGUCAGUUUAUCAAUGAUAACGCUGGGCAUACUAUCCUGUUGCCAAAGGAUCAUCCGGUUACCUCCCUUAUCAUACAGUACGUUCACGAGCGCUACCAUCAUCUCAACCACGAAACUACAGUUAACGAACUGCGUCAAAAGUAUCGCAUUGCAAAGCUGAGGACCAUCUGCAACAAAGUUCGCCGUUCAUGCCAGUACUGCAAGAACUCCAGAGCCCGACCUCAGCCGCCUGUUAUGGCCGAUCUUCCGCCUGCUCGCCUAGCCGCUUAUACGCGACCAUUUUCCUACGCAGGCAUCGACUACUUUGGACCGAUGCAAGUUGUUGUGGGUAGACGGACUGAGAAGAGAUGGGGUGUGCUAAUCACCUGUCUGGUGAUACGCGCUAUCCACAUAGAACUCGCGCACUCACUAAACACCAGUUCCUGUGUUAUGGCCCUACGGAACUUCAUGGCCAGAAGAGGUACUCCCUUAGAAUUAUACAGCGAUAGGGGGACGAAUUUUGUCGGAGCCAAUCGGGAACUCACCGAAGCGGUUCAGAAUCUGAACCAGAAUCAGCUCAUGAAAGAAUUCGUAACACCGGAUACCAAGUGGACUUUUCUUCCUCCAAGUAGUCCUCACAUGGGAGGAUGUUGGGAGAGAAUGGUGCAAUCCGUUAAGAAGGUGUUGAACAACAUGCAGCUUCCAAGAACCCCUACCGAUGAAGUUCUCCGUAAUUUCCUGCUAGAAGCUGAAAACAUCGUAAACUCUCGCCCCCUCACCUACGUUCCUGUCGAAGAUUCCGAAAGUGAAGCACUGACGCCCAACCACUUUUUAUUGGGCUCUUCCGGUGGCACAAAACCCUUGGUGCCUUAUGAUGAUAGCCUCGCCACGCUUAAAAAUAGUUGGAAAGCUUCCCAGAUCUACGCGAAUAUCUUCUGGAAACGGUGGUUACGCGAAUAUCUGCCGACAAUCAGCCGACGAACGAAAUGGCACUAUCCAGUGAAACCCAUCCAGGUCGGCGAUGUCGUCCUAGUCGUGGACCCGGACUUACCUAGAAACUCGUGGCCAUUGGGACGGGUGAUAGACGUAAAUAAAAGGAACGGGCAAGUACGUAGUGCAACAGUACAAACGCGAUUCAACAUCUACGAACGUCCAGCGGUCAAGCUUGCGGUUCUGGACGUCGGCGCAUCGGAAAGUACUCAGGGACAUCGAGCCUGUGUACUGGGGGGGAAUGUUACGCAAUCUGCGAACGCACCUCCGCUACCAACGAACCGCAUACGGGACGCACGACCACUAUCACAAAGCGGGUUGGUAGAGAAACGUCAAAAAGAAAAAAAAAAAAAAAAAAGGAAGAGAAAGAAUCAGUGAAUAGCUUAUUUCUAAAUUACUUCUGAAAAUUUCUAAAUUGUGAAUUUGCGUAGUGCCUAGUUUAAAAUUAUAUUAGUAAGAGGUAAAAAUUAAUUGCUUAGUGCCUAGUUUAAAAUUGUAUUAUUAAGAGGUCGGAGCAUCACAGUUGGUGGUAUUAGCAACUAGUUAUUGCAGUUAUUAGUAAUUUAACUACCGUACGAUACCGCUUACCGGACAGAACGAAAAUCACAAGUAGACAGUAAACGAAAAAUUUAACAUCAUUCUACAAUAAACCAACAUUGUCAAACAAAGUUCGGCGUAGUCAAUAAAGUAGUUUAAAUUUUCGGAAAUUCCGUCUUGUUGCCGUCUCGGGAACACACUCUAAAUUACGAUUUAAAUGUUUGUCACAUCCGAAAAUAUGCAGUAAUUUUUGGUAGGACCAUAAGACGAUUCAAUUGACCCUAAGAUUGGGAAUAACGGUUUAGAGUCCAGUUUAUAACAUUUUUUACGGUUUUCGUUCCGCCAGUUUAAGUGACGGUGUACAAUACUGAACACACUUUACCCUAUAACUCCGGAACCGGAAGUCGGAUCCGGAUGAAGUUCAGUAAUUCCGUAUGGGAC